UACGAAGGGGGCUAGCGUUGUUCGGAAUUACUGGGCGUAAAGGGCGCGUAGGCGGUCUAUCAAGUUAGGUGUGAAAGCCCUGGGCUCAACCCAGGAACUGCAUUUAAGACUGAUAGGCUAGAGAUCUAGAGGGGAUAGUGGAAUUCCAAGUGUAGAGGUGAAAUUCGUAGAUAUUUGGAGGAACACCAGUGGCGAAGGCGACUAUCUGGCUAGAAUCUGACGCUGAGGCGCGAUAGCGUGGGGAGCAAACAGG
rnacentral:rRNA from 1 species